rnacentral:lncRNA from 1 species
GAGCAAGGUAAAACAAUUCAUUCUAGCUGGCAGAUCGAGAAGAUUGCACAAAAGAGGUUAUAUUUGGAUUAAGGCCUUUUAAACAUUGGGCAGUAUUUCAACAGAAUAAUAAGCAGUAAGGGCGCUCAUUAAUUUAUUCCGCAAGCAUUUACUGAGACUCCAUGGUGUGUCUGGCUCUAUUUCAAGUCCUAGGAACACAAGGGCUCAUGUCAGGGAUCGUGUGGGAUCCUCCUUGAUGCUGAAGAUGCAAUCAUGAGCAAAGGUACUGUUGUAGCAAGUUCUGUGGAGUGACUGUGACACAGCCUUAGUAUAAGGGGAUGGGGGGAAGUACAGGGGAGGAUGAGGCAGGAAAAAAAGCCUGAGGACUUUAAUACAUGGUAGGAGAUAUAAGUUAUUCUUUAGGCUCCAAUAAGUCAGCAGUUUUGAGUUGAAAAGGCGCAUGAUUAAUUUAUAUUUUAGCUACAAGUGAUCCAGUGGCUCCUAUUAUUGCCUAAAAUAAUUAAAGGCUCUUCAUUACUCCUGGGAUAAAACCAAAGUUUUUAACAUGGAUUGGAAAGCCUUGCAAGGUCUAGCCCCCACCUAUCUCUUCGGCCUUAUCGUAAACCCCUUGUCCCCAUUUGCCCCAUGGGGGCCUGGCUGAUCUUCUGUUAUCACAACACAUGACCACCUACCACAGGCCCUUGGUACAGGUUGUUUUCUCUUCCAUGAAACCUUCCCUCUUUGCUUAAUUAACUUUUCCCUCCUCUGAUCUCUGCCGAAUCACUAUUUCUUGAGGAAGCUUUUCCUGACGCCCACUGCCAUAGAUCUAAUCCCCUAAUAUGUCAUGUGUAUCUGGGACUCCUUGAUUGUGCUCUGUCUCCUUCACUAGACUGCAGUCAAGAGCAAGGACUCUGUUUUGUUCAUCAUCUUCUCUUCAGUUUCCACUGCAAUGCCUGGUACAUGGUGGGCACACAGUAAACAUUUAUACAAAGCAGAGCAAAAUUGAAAAAAAAAAUUAUUUUCUGUUACGAUGGUUAACAAUGUAGGGGAUAGUUUGGGGUGGGGACUGAGUUAUAGGCAGCCUGCAGCUUGCAUCUAGGGCGACCAGCACACACAAUGGUCAAGCAUGUAGUUGUAAUGAAAAAUAACCUCUCCUUCUGGCAGCCAUGGGCCCAUCAAAAUGAUAUCUUCCUUUAGCAGCUGAUUAGGCUGAAUUCAGGGGCUGAUAAAUCCCUUUCUCCAGGAAAUGUCUCAGACGAGCCCUGGGUGUGAAAAGGCCCUGGUUUUGUUUGUUGUUUAUAAUUGGUUAAUUACACUUAGGGGCUGGUCACAUAUCAGAAAGGUGAAGGCAUCAUAUUGAGUGAGAAUGUGCAGAAAGUGGAAAGACGGUGAAUUUUAGCCAUGUAUGAAUAAAGGGGUUAACUUUCAAAUUACAGAUAGGAGACAGCAAAGGAAAAUUGCUUUAUUACCAAUGUCUCUGAAAUUGUGAAGGGUUAGAAUCAGUAGGCUGACGAAUCAGUACUUCUCCCUUCCUGCUGAUGACUGCGUGAGAGAAAAUGGGCUCUAUCCAGAGGGAGAGAAAUUGGAGCAAAUUAUUUCUCAAUUUACAAAGUCUUUGUUUCUGAAGAAAGAAUAAGGUGGAACCAAUAACUUCACUGAGGAGCAAAGAUGGGGCUGUCAGUGGGGGCGGGGGAGGUGGAGGGGGACACGUAGGUCCCCAGCUAUACCGUCGGCAUUAGGAUUGCGUUGUCACACAAGGUUCUGAAGCUCCGGAAGGGCUGCUCUGCGUGGCGUUUCUUGUAUGAAUCUGGAAAUGCUUUGCAAACCCCAUGAAUCACCACAUAUGCCAUGCUCGAAAGAUUUUGACAAGUUUUAUGAGUCCAUCUAGUGCUAUUUAUUUUUGUUCUCUCUCUUUCCUUCCCUAUAGGGAGGCAUACUUUCAAGGGCAUCUUUCACAGAAUUGGCCAGGGGCCACAGUGACAAAUCUAACUCCAUCACUCUGGGGCAAGGAGGAGCAUGUUUGGCUCUUGCCAGCUCCCUGGUAUGAUGUUAACAUGACUGAUGGAAUCACGCUAUUUGCUCAACCAGUAACCAGCGCAGAUUCCAGAAACCAGGUGUGAGCAAGUGAGAUGCUAUUUUUUAAUGUAAAUAAGCCACACUGGGAUGUCCACAUCCAUGUAUUUGUUGAGGACCCCUCUGGUGGAAUUGAAGAUUCACCCACAGGCUCUAUUCUAAAUAUUUCCAACAUGGCACAGUAUCUACAUUACCCUCCAUGAGAAUUCCUCCUUUGGGGCAUGGCAUUGAAAGAACUAUAAAUUAGCAAAUUUGCUAUACGGAAAUAAUCGCAAAAUAGUACUCUUUUUAUCACCGAGUUUAGUUGACUUAAUUAUCAAAAAUUUGUGUUGCCUGAUGCAACAGCCACUGGCCCACGUAUAAUUAUUGAUUGAAAUAUGAAGAGUGACCAAAGCAUCACACUCUACUUAAUUGCAAUUUUUAAAAUUCAAUUUCAGAUUUCGAUGUGUGGUGAACUCCAAAAAAAAGUGGGUAUCCAUGGUCAGUAAGUUUGAGAAAUCUGGCUUUUAAAAAAAUUCAAUGUGUUCUCUACGGCACAGUUUCUAAGAUCCUUCAACAUGCCAGUGUUCUUUAUGUUUUUCUCAGAAGGGAAUACUAUGGGCCAGUGUUACAAUAUCUAGCCACGGGAGAGAUUUUGCUUUCUUCCAAAGCAUAUCUUGAGGAACACGGUUUGGGAAAUGACAGUCUACAUGGAUGGGGCCCAGGAGGAAUAUGCCAGGCAGAGAUCUAUGUCUUUAAUGAAAGAAGGUGUGUCCCCAGAGCAGACCCUGGAUAGGGAACUGCAGGGUGUUAAGACUCAGAUUCUUUUUUUUUUUUUUUUUUUUUUUGUCUUUUUUUAGAGGCUCACCUAUAGCCUAUGGAAGUUUCCAGACUAGGGACUGAAUCGGAGCUGCAGCUGCCAGUCUACACCACAGCUACAGCAACACCAGAUCCUUAACCCACCGAGCGAGACCAGGGAUUGAAUCCAGAUCCUCAUGGAUAAUAGUGGGUUUGUUACCCCUGAGCCACAAUGGGAACUCCUGACUUAGCUGCUUUAUAUCUCUUUAUUCAUCGUGUCUUUGUGAACUUUUGAUAUCUCAUGGACCUUUCCUAUCACCUUUGCCCUCGACCAACCUUAGUGGUGCUGUUUUCUUUUGAAAAAAAAAGAGUUUGACAAGAUGGUCUUUUCUAGGUCUAAAAUUCUAUGACUCUUUUUUUCUGACACUAAUCCUUGAAACGUCCUACUGUUCAGUGCUUUAAAACCCUGGUUGGAUCGUGCCUGAUUAAGUCAGUAAAUAAGCUGAGAUAAUAUCCAGUGGAUGGUAGCUUUCUACUUCCCUGAGUGCCUCCUAACUGGGAGAAAGGAAAGUAGACCAUGAAAAAGAUGAUACGAUCCUGAGGGACAUACAUGGUACUAAACCAAGCAGGUGAUGCAGAAGCCUAAAGAAAAGAAAACACCAUUAUCAUUUUUUUUAAAGUAAAUUGGUCUGCAAGGGCUUUAGAUUAUAAGAGUUUAUCUUGAUCUUAAUUUCGAGCCCCUGAAGACAGAGAAGUGACUGUGUUGCUGACAGACCAGGAGCAGAGAGUGGCUGGUGAGGCAUCUGUGUGUUAUUGAAAGUGACAUGACUAGAAUCAGAAAUACAAAUCGGAAACAAGAGCAAUUAUCCAAGAGAGAGAGAUUGGCCAAGAAUUAUGACCAGGGUUUUGGCUUGGACAACCAGGUAGAUGGAGGUAUUCAUUGUAGGAAAUAGGAGGGAUUGAAAAAUAGGCAGUUUGGAGGUGGGGGAAGGGAGUCAAGAUAAUGAUGGCUUCGGCUUGGGACAUGUGGACUCUGCAGUGGCUGUGACAUUGUCCAAGUGGUGAUGUACAGUAGGAAAUUGGGAAUAUAGAUCCGGAUCUUAGCAGAGAGAAUGCGACUGGAGAUAGUAUAAUAUUAGUAUUACUAUAAUAAAAGUACAGUAUAGUAUAACAUAAUUUAGUAGUAUAGUAUCAAUAGUUUAGGAGGAAUGGCUAACUUAAGAGGCAAUAUAGGAGUUCCCAUGGUACAGCAGGAUCUAUGGCAUCUCUGCAGUGCCAGGAGGCAGGUUCAACCCCCAGACUGGCACAGCGGGUUCAAGGAUCUGCAUUGCCACAGCUGUGGUGUAGGUUGCAACUGUAGCUCAGAUCUGAUCCCUGACAUAGGAACUCCAUAUGCUGCAAGGGUGG